GGGGAAUAUUGCACAAUGGGCGAAAGCCUGAUGCAGCGACGCCGCGUGAGUGAUGACGUAUUUCGGUAUGUAAAGCUCUAUCAGCAGGGAAGAUAAUGACGGUACCUGACUAAGAAGCCCCGGCUAACUACGUGCCAGCAGCCGCGGUAAUACGUAGGGGGCAAGCGUUAUCCGGAUUUACUGGGUGUAAAGGGUGCGUAGGUGGUAUGAUAAGUCAGAAGUGAAAGGUGAGGGCUCAACCCUUAGACUGCUUUUGAAACUAUCAAACUAGAGUGCAGGAGAGGUAAGUGGAAUUCCUAGUGUAGCGGUGAAAUGCGUAGAUAUUAGGAGGAACACCAGUGGCGAAGGCGGCUUACUGGACUGUAACUGACACUGAGGCACGAAAGCGUGGGGAGCAAAC
rnacentral:rRNA from 1 species